CUUCAGGCAUCCCUAUCACUUUCUGCCUCAGCACACAAGCAUACUCAAGUGUCUUCCAUUAAAUAAAAAAAAAGGCAAACCAUUCCUUGACUUUAUAUUGUCCCUUUAGCUGCAGCUUUUUCUCUUUCCUUCCCUUCACAGCUAAGUGUCUCGAUAGAUUCGUCGAGAGAUAACAGGAAGAAACAAACCAUCCCUGCUGGCCACUUGGAGACUGAGGAGAGAGAAGCUGUUGAGUCCAGGAGUCUGAGGCUGCAGUGAGCUAGGAUGGUGACAAUGCACUCCAGCCUGGGCAACACAGUGAGCCCCUGUUUGGAAAAUAAUAAUAAUAAUUAAUAACAUAUGUGAAAGAGAGUUCACAAUUAGUCCAAUAUCUUUAGAAAGAUUCAAAAACACCUAAAUGCGAAAAAUGCCUUUAUUCAUUUGUCAGCUGGAUUACAGAAAGUAGGAAGAAAAGAGCCUGUGCCUCUGUAGGAAAGUAACAACGACUUAACUUCUGGAAUAUUAAUUAAGCUCAAACGAUUUCAACAUUCAUCACCUUGCAUUGCACUUCACAGAAAGCAAAACCAAAACAAUCCUGGAGUUUUGAGUGAGGAAAACAGACGCCCCGCACUCGCACACGCGCGCACUCGCAGCCUGUCUGAAGUGCAGAGGUUCAGGCGGCCAAGGGACCCGCGCCGGUUUCCGCGGGCGACCUGCAAAUCCUGCCCGGGGCCCGGCAGGCGCUGCGUCCCGGCGCGUUGGCAGUUGGCGACCCCCCUCGAAUCCCCCCUCUGCUGCGGGCUCCCCGUGGCCUUUGGAGGCUCGGUGAGUCGGCUCCAAAUGUUUUCCAUAUUUGUUCAGCCUCCAUAAUUCGAAUACCAGGGCAGGCCGAGCCAGCCGUGCGCCG
rnacentral:lncRNA from 10 species